CCCGGUGGUGUCAUGGAGCACGCCACGCUUCAAGCGUGGAGGAGGAGGUUCGAAUCCUUCCGCGGGGCCA
rnacentral:tRNA from 1 species